GAUAAUUUAUAAUGAAAAUAAAUUUAUUGGCUCACCAUUCCAGAGGCUGGACGUUCAAGACUGAGGAGCUGGAAUCGGGUGGGGCCUUCCUGUUGCAUCGUCCACGGAGGACAGGGAAAAGAGGGCAAGAGACUGGACUCCAGCCUCUAGGUCUCUUCCACUCGAUGGCUGCACACCUGCCUAGACCCCGCCCACCAGCACUCUUGCACUGGGAGUUAUUGCUGGUCAGACAUGAGCCACAAUCCCAACGUCUGGCCACUUCUGCUGCCCUGGUACAAU
rnacentral:lncRNA from 1 species